GACGAACGCUGGCGGCGUGCUUAACACAUGCAAGUCGAACGGUAAGGCCCUUCGGGGUACACGAGUGGCGAACGGGUGAGUAACACGUGGGUGAUCUGCCCUGCACUUCGGGAUAAGCCUGGGAAACUGGGUCUAAUACCGGAUAGGACUCCGGACUGCAUGGUCUGGGGUGGAAAGCUUUUGCGGUGUGGGAUGGGCCCGCGGCCUAUCAGCUUGUUGGUGGGGUGAUGGCCUACCAAGGCGACGACGGGUAGCCGGCCUGAGAGGGUGACCGGACACACUGGGACUGAGACACGGCCCAGACUCCUACGGGAGGCAGCAGUGGGGAAUAUUGCACAAUGGGCGCAAGCCUGAUGCAGCAACGCCGCGUGAGGGAUGACGGCCUUCGGGUUGUAAACCUCUUUUAGUAGGGAAGAAGCGAAAGUGACGGUACCUGCAGAAAAAGCACCGGCUAACUACGUGCCAGCCGCCGCCGUAA
rnacentral:rRNA from 1 species